rnacentral:rRNA from 1 species
CCUACGGGUGGCUGCAGUGAGGAAUAUUGGUCAAUGGGCGGGAGCCUGAACCAGCCAAGUCGCGUGAAGGAAGAAGGUCCUUAGUAUUGUAAACUUCUUUUGUCGGGGAACAAAGGCGGAGACGCGUCUCCGGAUGAGUGUACCUGAAGAAAAAGCAUCGGCUAACUCCGUGCCAGCAGCCGCGGUAAUACGGAGGAUGCGAGCGUUAUCCGGAUUUAUUGGGUUUAAAGGGUGCGUAGGCGGAUUGAUAAGUUAGUGGUGAAAUGUCCGAGCUUAACUCGGGAACUGCCACUAAUACUGUUGAUCUAGAGAGUAGAUGCGGUAGGCGGAAUGUAUGGUGUAGCGGUGAAAUGCUUAGAGAUCAUACAGAACACCGAUUGCGAAGGCAGCUUACCAAUCUAUAUCUGACGUUGAGGCACGAAAGCGUGGGUAUCAAACAGGAUUAGAUACCCGUGUAGUC